GAUGAACGCUGGCGGCGUGCCUAAUACAUGCAAGUCGAGCGAACAGACGAGGAGCUUGCUCCUCUGACGUUAGCGGCGGACGUGUGAGUAACACGUGGAUAACCUCCCUAUAAGACUGGUAUAACUUCGGGAAACCGGAUCUAAUACCGGAUAAUAUCUUGAACCGCAUUGUUCAAUAGUGAAAGACGGUUUUGCUGUCACUUAUCGAUGGAUCCGCGCCGCAUUAGCUAGUUGGUAAGGUAACGGCUUACCAAGGCAACGAUGCGUAGCCGACCUGAGAGGGGGAUCGGCCACACUGGAACUGAGACACGGUCAAGACUACUACGGGAGGCAGCAGUAGGGAAUCGUCCGCAAUGGGCGAAAGCCUGACGGAGCAACGCCGCGUGAGUGAUGAAGGUCUUCGGAGCGUAAAACUCUGUUAUUAGGGAAGAACAAAUGUGUAAGUAAAUAUGCACGUAUUGACGGUACCGAAUAAGAAAGCCACGGCUAACUACGUG
rnacentral:rRNA from 1 species